AUUGAACGCUGGCGGCAUGCCUUACACAUGCAAGUCGAACGGCAGCGGACCUUCGGGUGCCGGCGAGUCGGCGAACGGGUGAGUAAUAUAUCGGAACGUACCUUUCAGUGGGGGAUAACGUAGCGAAAGUUACGCUAAUACCGCAUAUUCUGUGAGCAGGAAAGCAGGGGAUCGCAAGACCUUGCGCUGAUUGAGCGGCCGAUAUCAGAUUAGCUAGUUGGUGAGGUAAAGGCUCACCAAGGCGACGAUCUGUAGCGGGUCUGAGAGGAUGAUCCGCCACACUGGAACUGAGACACGGUCCAGACUCCUACGGGAGGCAGCAGUGGGGAAUUUUGGACAAUGGGCGCAAGCCUGAUCCAGCCAUGCCGCGUGAGUGAAGAAGGCCUCGGUUGUAA
rnacentral:rRNA from 1 species